CUAAUGAGUGAUGAUGAUCUGAUUGGCUAUAUAAUGGUGGAUCUUGACGUUGAGUACAACCCGCUGGUUUCCUCAGUCACAACCAGGUCUGACUCAAUCGGUCUCUCCGAGUUCUACUCCUAUUUUCUCUCAUA